ACGGGUGAGCAAUGCGUAGGAAUCUACCGAGUGGUGCGGGAUAGCCUAGGGAAACUUAGGGUAAUACCGCGUAAGCCCGAGAGGGGAAAGCAGGGGACCGAAAGGCCUUGCACCAUUUGAUGAGCCUACGUCGGAUUAGCUAGUUGGUGGGGUAAAGGCCUACCAAGGCGACGAUCCGUAGCUGGUUUGAGAGAGCGACCAGCCACACUGGGGCUGAGACACGGCCCAGACUCCUACGGGAGGCAGCAGUGGGGAAUAUUGGACAAUGGGCGAAAGCCUGAUCCAGCGAUGCCGCGUGUGUGAAGAAGGCCUGCGGGUUGUAAAGCACUUUCAGUGGGGAGGAAAUGCUCCUUGUUAAUACCAAAGAGAGAUGACGUUACCCAAAUAAGAAGCACCGGCUAACUCUGUGCCAGCAGCCGCGGUAAUACAGAGGGUGCAAGCGUUAAUCGGAAUUACUGGGCGUAAAGGGUGCGUAGGUGGUGAGAUAAGUUAGGUGUGAAAGUCCUGGGCUUAACCUGGGGAUUGCGCCUAAUACUGUUUGACUAGAGUACUGUAGAGGAAGGUGGAAUUUCCGGUGU
rnacentral:rRNA from 1 species